rnacentral:rRNA from 1 species
GAUGAACGCUGGCGGCGUGCCUAAUACAUGCAAGUCGAGCGAACAGACGAGGAGCUUGCUCCUCUGACGUUAGCGGCGGACGGGUGAGUAACACGUGGAUAACCUACCUAUAAGACUGGGAUAACUUCGGGAAACCGGAGCUAAUACCGGAUAAUAUAUUGAACCGCAUGGUUCAAUAGUGAAAGACGGUUUUGCUGUCACUUAUAGAUGGAUCCGCGCCGCAUUAGCUAGUUGGUAAGGUAACGGCUUACCAAGGCAACGAUGCGUAGCCGACCUGAGAGAGUGAUCGCCCCCACUCGAACUGAGACACGGUCCAGACUCCUACGGGAGGCAGCAGUGGGGAAUCUUCCGCAAUAGGCGAAAGCCUGACGCAGCAAAGCCGCGUGAGUGAUAAAGGUCUUCGGAGCGUAAAACUCUGUUAUUAGGGAAGAAAAAAUGUGUAAGUAACUAUGCACGUCUUGACGGUACCUAAUCAGAAAGCCACGGCUAACUACGUG